AUUUUAGAAUAAGUGCAAUGUGGUGCUGAGAAAAAUGUAUAUUCUGUUGAUUUGGGGUGAGGAGUUCUGUAGAUGUCUAUUAGGUGCACUUGGUACAGAACUGAGUUCAAGUCCUGAAUAGCCUUAUUAAUUUUCUGUCUCGUUGAUCUGUCUAAUAUUGACCGUGGGGCGAUAAAGUCUCUCAUUAUUACUGCAUGGAAAACAGAGGCCUCAGCAGUGUGCUGUAUGCAGGAGACCCAUCUCAUGUGCAAAGACACACAUAGGCACAAAAUAAAGGGAUGGAGGAAGAUCUACCAAGCAAAUGGAA
rnacentral:lncRNA from 1 species